GGUUAAGCGACUAAGCGUACACGGUGGAUGCCCUGGCAGUCAGAGGCGAUGAAGGGCGUGCUAAUCUGCGAUAAGCGCCGGUAAGGUGAUAUGAACCGUUAUAACCGGCGAUACCCGAAUGGGGAAACCCAGUGUGACUCGUCACACUAUCAUUAACUGAAUCCAUAGGUUAAUGAGGCGAACCGGGGGAACUGAAACAUCUAAGUACCCCGAGGAAAAGAAAUCAACCGAGAUUCCCCCAGUAGCGGCGAGCGAACGGGGAGGAGCCCAGAGCCUGAAUCAGCAUGUGUGUUAGUGGAAGCGUCUGGAAAGGCGCGCGAUACAGGGUGACAGCCCCGUACACAAAAGCGCAUGUGCUGUGAGCUCGAUGAGUAGGGCGGGACACGUGGUAUCCUGUCUGAAUAUGGGGGGACCAUCCUCCAAGGCUAAAUACUCCUGACUGACCGAUAGUGAACCAGUACCGUGAGGGAAAGGCGAAAAGAACCCCGGCGAGGGGAGUGAAAAAGAACCUGAAACCGUGUACGUACAAGCAGUGGGAGCACAGGUUUACCUGUGUGACUGCGUACCUUUUGUAUAAUGGGUCAGCGACUUAUAUUCUGUAGCAAGGUUAACCGAAUAGGGGAGCCGGAGGGAAACCGAGUCUUAAUUGGGCGUUAAGUUGCAGGGUAUAGACCCGAAACCCGGUGAUCUAGCCAUGGGCAGGUUGAAGGUUGGGUAACACUAACUGGAGGACCGAACCGACUAAUGUUGAAAAAUUAGCGGAUGACCUGUGGCUGGGGGUGAAAGGCCAAUCAAACCGGGAGAUAGCUGGUUCUCCCCGAAAGCUAUUUAGGUAGCGCCUCGUGAAUUCAUCUCCGGGGGUAGAGCACUGUUUCGGCUAGGGGGCCAUCCCGGCUUACCAACCCGAUGCAAACUGCGAAUACCGGAGAAUGUUAUCACGGGAGACACACGGCGGGUGCUAACGUCCGUCGUGAAGAGGGAAACAACCCAGACCGCCAGCUAAGGUCCCAAAGUCAUGGUUAAGUGGGAAACGAUGUGGGAAGGCCCAGACAGCCAGGAUGUUGGCUUAGAAGCAGCCAUCAUUUAAAGAAAGCGUAAUAGCUCACUGGUCGAGUCGGCCUGCGCGGAAGAUGUAACGGGGCUAAACCAUGCACCGAAGCUGCGGCAGCGACACUGUGUGUUGUUGGGUAGGGGAGCGUUCUGUAAGCCUGCGAAGGUGGCCUGUGAGGGUUGCUGGAGGUAUCAGAAGUGCGAAUGCUGACAUAAGUAACGAUAAAGCGGGUGAAAAGCCCGCUCGCCGGAAGACCAAGGGUUCCUGUCCAACGUUAAUCGGGGCAGGGUGAGUCGACCCCUAAGGCGAGGCCGAAAGGCGUAGUCGAUGGGAAACGGGUUAAUAUUCCCGUACUUGGUGUUACUGCGAAGGGGGGACGGAGAAGGCUAUGUUGGCCGGGCGACGGUUGUCCCGGUUUAAGCGUGUAGGUGUGUGUUCCAGGUAAAUCCGGUUCACUUUAACACUGAGGCGUGACGACGAGGCACUACGGUGCUGAAGCAACAAAUGCCCUGCUUCCAGGAAAAGCCUCUAAGCAUCAGGUAACAUCAAAUCGUACCCCAAACCGACACAGGUGGUCAGGUAGAGAAUACCAAGGCGCUUGAGAGAACUCGGGUGAAGGAACUAGGCAAAAUGGUGCCGUAACUUCGGGAGAAGGCACGCUGACACGUAGGUGAAGUGAUUUACUCAUGGAGCUGAAGUCAGUCGAAGAUACCAGCUGGCUGCAACUGUUUAUUAAAAACACAGCACUGUGCAAACACGAAAGUGGACGUAUACGGUGUGACGCCUGCCCGGUGCCGGAAGGUUAAUUGAUGGGGUCAGCGCAAGCGAAGCUCCUGAUCGAAGCCCCGGUAAACGGCGGCCGUAACUAUAACGGUCCUAAGGUAGCGAAAUUCCUUGUCGGGUAAGUUCCGACCUGCACGAAUGGCGUAAUGAUGGCCAGGCUGUCUCCACCCGAGACUCAGUGAAAUUGAACUCGCUGUGAAGAUGCAGUGUACCCGCGGCAAGACGGAAAGACCCCGUGAACCUUUACUAUAGCUUGACACUGAACAUUGAGCCUUGAUGUGUAGGAUAGGUGGGAGGCUUUGAAGUGUGGACGCCAGUCUGCAUGGAGCCGACCUUGAAAUACCACCCUUUAAUGUUUGAUGUUCUAACGUGGACCCGUUACCCGGGUUGCGGACAGUGUCUGGUGGGUAGUUUGACUGGGGCGGUCUCCUCCUAAAGAGUAACGGAGGAGCACGAAGGUUGGCUAAUCCUGGUCGGACAUCAGGAGGUUAGUGCAAUGGCAUAAGCCAGCUUGACUGCGAGCGUGACGGCGCGAGCAGGUGCGAAAGCAGGUCAUAGUGAUCCGGUGGUUCUGAAUGGAAGGGCCAUCGCUCAACGGAUAAAAGGUACUCCGGGGAUAACAGGCUGAUACCGCCCAAGAGUUCAUAUCGACGGCGGUGUUUGGCACCUCGAUGUCGGCUCAUCACAUCCUGGGGCUGAAGUAGGUCCCAAGGGUAUGGCUGUUCGCCAUUUAAAGUGGUACGCGAGCUGGGUUUAGAACGUCGUGAGACAGUUCGGUCCCUAUCUGCCGUGGGCGCUGGAGAACUGAGGGGGGCUGCUCCUAGUACGAGAGGACCGGAGUGGACGCAUCACUGGUGUUCGGGUUGUCAUGCCAAUGGCACUGCCCGGUAGCUAAAUGCGGAAGAGAUAAGUGCUGAAAGCAUCUAAGCACGAAACUUGCCCCGAGAUGAGUUCUCCCUGAGACUUAAAGUCUCCUGAAGGAACGUUGAAGACGACGACGUUGAUAGGCCGGGUGUGUAAGCGCAGCGAUGCGUUGAGCUAACCGGUACUAAUGAACCGUGAGGCUUAACCUUACAACGCCGAAG
rnacentral:rRNA from 1 species